rnacentral:rRNA from 1 species
AACGAACGCUGGCGGCAUGCCUAACACAUGCAAGUCGAACGAGACCUUCGGGUCUAGUGGCGCACGGGUGCGUAACGCGUGGGAACCUGCCCUUAGGUUCGGAAUAACUCCCCGAAAGGGGUGCUAAUACCGGAUAAUGUCUUCGGACCAAAGAUUUCUCGCCUUUGGAUGGGCCCGCGUUGGUUUAGCUAGUUGGUAGGGUAAAAGCCUACCAAGGCGACGAUCCAUAGCUGGUCUGAGAGGAUGAUCAGCCACACUGGGGCUGCGACACGGCCCAGACUCCUACGGGAGGCAGCAGUGGGGAAUAUUGGACAAUGGGCGAAAGCCUGAUCCAGCCAUGCCGCGUGAGUGAUGCAGGCCUUAGGGUUGUAAAGCUCUUUUACCCGGGAUGAUAAUGACAGUACCGGGAGAAUAAGCUCCGGCUAACUCCGUG